rnacentral:rRNA from 1 species
AAUGAACGCUGGCGGCGCGCCUAAUACAUGCAAGUCGAGCGAGAAGACGUAGCAAUACGUUUGUAAAGCGGCGAACGGGUGAGGAAUACAUGGGUAACCUACCCUAGAGUGGGGAAUAACUAGCCGAAAGGUUAGCUAAUACCGCGUACGCUCCUUGGACUUCGGUUCAGGGAGGAAAGCGAUGCCGAGGGUAUCGCGCUCUUGGAUGGGCUCAUGUCCUAUCAGCUUGNGGUGAGGUAACGGCUCACCAAGGCUUCGACGGGUAGCUGGUCUGAGAGGACGAUCAGCCACACUGGCACUGCGACACGGGCCAGACUCCUACGGGAGGCAGCAGUAAGGAAUAUUGCGCAAUGGGCGAAAGCCUGACGCAGCGACGCCGCGUGGGGGAGUGAA